rnacentral:lncRNA from 1 species
UGCUGGGAUGUAAAAUAGUUAUCCUAUUCGGACUUAUUGAAACAGUGUAAGAUCACACUCUGUCCUACGGAUCUUAGAUGUAAUGAAACAGAAUCCACAGCAAAUGAAUAAGCUGACGUCACAACAAUGGUUAAACGGUGUUGCCUGUCAAGUUUUAUGGCUGUCGGAGUAUCUGAUUUACAAGUUUUAUGGAUUUUGAGUCUCGUGAUUUGCA